AUUGAACGCUGGCGGCAGGCCUAACACAUGCAAGUCGAGCGAGCGGCGGACGGGUGAGUAAUGUAUGGGGACUGCCCGAUAGAGGGGGAUAACUACUGGACACGGUAGCUAAUACCGCAUACUAUCGGAUAACCCAUAUGGGAUCAGCUCGUAGGUGAGGUAAUGGCUCACCUAGGCGACGAUCCCUAGCUGGUCUGAGAGGAUGAUCAGCCACACUGGGACUGAGAAACGGCACAGACUCAUACGGAGGCAGCAGUGGGGAAUAUUGCACAAUGGGAGCAAGCCUGAUGCAGCAAUCCCGCGUGUAUGAUGAAGGCCUUCGGGUUGUAAAGUACUUUUGGCAGAGAAGCGGUAUCUGCAGAAUAAGCACCGGCUAACUACGUGCCAGCAGCCGCGGUAAUUC
rnacentral:rRNA from 1 species